rnacentral:rRNA from 1 species
GAUGAACGCUAGCGACAGGCCUAACACAUGCAAGUCGAGGGGCAGCACAAGGAGCAAUCUGAGGUGGCGACCGGCGCACGGGUGAGUAACACGUAUGCAACCUGCCUUCAACAAGGGGAUAACCCGUUGAAAGACGGACUAAUACCCUAUAAUACAGGGGCCCCGCAUGGGGAUAUUUGUUAAAGAUUUAUCGGUUGAAGAUGGGCAUGCGUUCCAUUAGCUGGUUGGUGGGGUAACGGCCCACCAAGGCAACGAUGGAUAGGGGAACUGAGAGGUUUAUCCCCCACACUGGUACUGAGACACGGACCAGACUCCUACGGGAGGCAGCAGUGAGGAAUAUUGGUCAAUGGACGCAAGUCUGAACCAGCCACGUCGCGUGAAGGAAGACGGCCCUACGGGUUGUAAACUUCUUUUAUACGGGAAUAAAGUGCCCCACGCGUGGGGUUUUGCAUGUACCGUAUGAAUAAGGAUCGGCUAACUCCGUGCCAGCAGCCGCGGUAA